UAAUUAAAAUUACUAAACAUAUAGAACAUUCAUUGCCCGUUUCAUAUGUGUAAAUGUAAACUUCGUUCUUUUGUUACAGAAAUAUUUUGUCUCGUAUAGAUUUUUUUACAAACUGUAUAUGGAUUCUACUUAUUUUUUUCACACAAGAAUUAAGCUUAGUUUUAUACUCAUUGUUGCUGUUUUUUCAUGUCAUCAAAAUUCCUUCAUUUCCAAGAAACUAUUGUAAUUGUUUCAGUCAUCAUUUUAUUCAUGGACAUUAAUGGUUGUACAAGUUCAAUAAAAAAAUUUUAAUAAUAAAGCAAAAUGUGAUAUUUCCUUGCAAGAAUAUAAAUGCGAUGUAGUCUAUAAAAUUCAGUUCACAAGUUCACCGUAAAUAAUACUGUACCUAAUGAAAUACAUGUAUAAAGGAACGAGAACAAAAUGAAAUUUUUAGUUGAAUACAUGCGUUUACAUGUUAUAUUGCAUGUCUCCACCUUGAAAAGGAAAUAAUCAUUUACUGCAGUAUCUGGUAGUUAAAUCUUCAACAGUUUAAGGAACGUACUACUUUAUUUUUUAUUUUAUUUUUGUGAAUACAUGCAUCAUGCUUGAAAAUACAUGUAUAUUCCUUGAAUAUUAUAUCCUGAGCAGUUGUAAAUGCAAUGGCAAUUGUGAACUAUACAUAGAUAGGAAUAAGAUGUACUGAAUUAAGGAUCUGACAGAAUUGUGCCACAUGUAAAUGUCCAGCUCUGAUGUGUUAUACAAGUUGUCAUAUUUGACACAACCCUUUCUUUAUUGACUUUGUUACUUGUGUGCGCCUGUGUUCUGAUGUUAUUAGAUUUGUGAAUGCUGAUGUUACUAGAUUUGUGAAUGAUUAUUAAAUGAACGAACCAGUUC
rnacentral:misc_RNA from 1 species